rnacentral:lncRNA from 1 species
GAACAGCGGCAACUCCGGCGUCCGCGGUGGCGCGGAGAGCGUGGUGGCUUGGGGGGCAACAAGCUGGGAAUUUGAUUUCUUGGAACGAGGAGGCGGCGGGUUCUUGGCGACGAAGUCCUUGAGACCGACCUCGCCGCCGGGGAAGCCGCCUGUGAGGCCCAUCAUCUCCUUGUCGAACGCGUCCAGAUCAACCGCGGGCGGAGGAGACUCCGUCGAAGGAGAAGGAGACGGCGCGGGCGAGGAGGUGGUGGUGGAGGCGGAGGAGCCGGAGGUGAGUUCUUUGCGGACGCCGACCUCGCCGUUGCAGAGGCCCCGACCGCCAAGUAUCUCGGAGACGCGGAAGGAGGCGGAGGGUGGGCGGAAAUGGAGGCGAGGGUGCGGGUGGUGUGGCAGCGGCGGCGGGCGGAGGAAUGAGGAGCUGGUGGGCGGCGGCGCCAUCGGAGGAGUGGAGAGGAGCGCGCCCGCGAGCGAAGCAGAAC